AGCCCCAUUCUAGAUGAAAAUGGGCACUGUUGCUUUUGGUGUUCAGAAACAGAUGUGGCUAUAUUGAUACAGGUUAAGCUUUCACCAUAGUACCUUACUGUAGUGGUGACAAUGAGGCUGCAACAUGU
rfam:Erinaceus europaeus unplaced genomic scaffold scaffold00315, whole genome shotgun sequence